GUCGCCAAUUUUCUCGGGAAAGGAUUUUGCGAUGACCCUUGCCCCCAUGGCAUCACCAACAUCACAGGGAAAAUCAGCGGUGAAAUUGUGUACCCUAGUUCUGGUAUGUACGGCCCCAACGAGA